AUUGAACGCUGGCGGCAGGCCUAACACAUGCAAGUCGAACGCGUGGCGGACGGGUGAGUAAUGUCUGGGAAACUGCCUGAUGGAGUGGGAUAACUACUGGAAACGGUAGCUAAUACCGCAUACCAUCAGAUGUGCCCUGAUGGGAUUAGCUUGUUGGUGGGGUAACGGCUCACCAAGGCGACGAUCCCUAGCUGGUCUGAGAGGAUGACCAGCCACACGGGAACUGAUAAUCGGUCCCGACUCCUACGGGAGGCAGCAGUGGGGAAUAUUGCACAAUGGGCGCAAGCCUGAUGCAGCCAUGCCGCGUGUAUGAAGAAGGCCUUCGGGUUGUAAAGUACUUUCAGCGGGGAAGCGUUACCCGCAGAAGAAGCACCGGCUAACUCCGUGCCAGCAGCCGCGGUAAUUA
rnacentral:rRNA from 1 species